CCAAUCCUCCAUGCCUAAACCACAUUUUUCCGUUCCAAUAUCAAAGGGCUGGCUGCUGCCCUUGUUGUUACCGCCGGAGACAGCUGUCGUUACCGCCACGCCGCUGCUGUCCCCAGAAGAGGAAGACAGUGUUGAGGAAGAUGUUGGAGGACUUGGGCUUCUUCUAGUAUUAAUAGAUGUGGGUUCACUGC